AGUCCCAACUCUUCCUGCCAGAUUUGCUUCCCUUUCUGGGUCCUGUUCCUGGAUGAGUCAAGAUGGGGUAGAUUUUCACAUUGGAUGCUUGCAGGGACCACUAGGCAUAGGCAGGUUUCAUAGAACCUGCAGCGGCCUGAUGCCCUGGGUCCCCUGCAGACCGGGAACUCCUGCAUUGGGGCUGCUGUGGGCCCAUUAGAUCAUGAACUCAAGUUUUGCAGACUUGGGAAUGGUUCUCUCCUCAAUGUUUUAGGACACUCAGUCCCAUCUGGCUCAGGGGAGACUGUGCAUCAGCCCAGGAUUGUAACCUUUUCAUUUUCUUGGCAACUUACUUUGUAGAGGUACAGAAAUGGGAGUUUUAGAAGGUGCCUGGAAGGGGAAAGAGUGACAUGGUCUGUUACACAGGGAAGGGAACUUGCCUCCCUACAUGUAAGGUGCAGCACGGCUGUGCAGCAGAUGCUCCCGCAGCUCCCACAACGUCCAUCCAGCAACUGGGGUAGAGGCCAUGCAGCUUCAGUAUUCAAGGAGGCCUCACUUGAAGCUGAGACAAAAGGCAGCGCCUGCGGCUUGGGAACUCGAGUCUGAACUGCAGGCAUGACCUAAAGGAGAUUUCUGGGAGGUGCAGUCCCGGGAGGUGGAGCUGCCCCACGGAUUCUGCAUACUGAACACCACUGGCCACGCCUCCGAGGAUUCUGGGUGUUGAAGGCCUGGGGCGGUGCCGCGCUGACUCUUCUGGGUACGGGUGAGUUAGUGCUGGACAGCUGAAGAGGGCCUGAGGAUUCCGGGUACUGAGGUCCUGAAGCCGCCCCGCCAAGGUUUGUGGGUACUGAGGUUCGAACUCGCCCCGCCAGGAUUCGUGGUGUAGACGCGUUGGACCCGCCCACCAGGGAUUCUGUGCACUGAAGUCCUGGAACCGCCCCACCGAGGAUUCUGGGUCCUGGAAUCCUGGAGCCUCCCGCCGAGGAUUCUGGGUACGGACGUCUUUAACUGCCCGCCGAGGAUUCUGGGUUCUGGAAUCCGGCCUGCGCACAGGAUCCCGGGUAGUGUCCUCCGGUGGACGGCCACGCCGAUGCGUAGAGCCUCCGUCUGCCUCCGGCCGAGGACGCAGAGCCACCGUCCCCACCCGCCGUCCGUCCCCGGAGCAGCCCUCCGAGGGGUUCCCUUCUCCAUGGAGAGCAGGAAGGCGGCUCUGGGACCCUGGAAGGCCGGCAGAGAGGCUCUGGUGACGUUUGAGGAUGUGGCUGUGGAUUUCACGCAGAAGGAGUGGAAGCUGCUGAGCCCUGCGCAGAGGACCCUGUACAGACACGUGAUGCUGGAGAACUUCAGCCACCUGGAGUCGCUGGGAAUUCCCUGUUCCAAACCAGACCUCAUCACGUGGCUGGAGCGAGGGGAAGAGCCCUGGAGGGAAGAGAGGAGACACCGGCCAGUCCGCUGUGCAGCAGAAGCAAAGCCAGAAAUGCAUCUCUGUCCCUGCUGCCCACUGACCUCCGCUCACCACAUCCUCUUGAGGCACACGAUUCACGACCAUUCUGCUCAGAUGUCUGCAGGUGUUUGUGCAACAGAUUACCCACAGCUGAGGAAUCAAGAUCACCAGGAACAAGAGCAAGAAGAACUCUCUCAUCAGAGUGACCAGAGUGAUAGGGGAGCAGGUCAAGAGAGAGAAGAAAACUCCCAGACCUUGUUGAGGAGGGGGAGUCUGAUGUCUGGGAUAACUUCCAGCCCACACCCCACCCAGGCAGUAAGUCUGGGGCAAAGGAACUCAGUGGUGGAAAUAGAGGGCAGCCAAGCCCAGAGGGGAAAUCCUAAAGAAACAGCUAAAGUUUUGAAAGUAAUAGAAAAUUCAGGAUGGGGAGAAUUCAGAUAUGCAGAGUGUGGGCAACACUUUAAUCAGAAGACAAAGCUCCUUGAUCACAGAAAAGCACAUCAUGGACAGAAUCUUUUAACAUACAGGGAGAGUGGACAGGACUUUAGUGAUAAGUCAGAACUCUUCUUGCACCUGAAGAUUCACCCUGGAGAGAUUCCAUAUAUGUGCAGGGAGGGUGGGCCAGACUUCAGCAGUAAGUCAAACCUCAUAACAUACCAGAGGACACACUCAGGGGAAAAGCCUUUUGUGUGCAAGGAGUGCGGCCAAGGAUUUUCACAAAAAUCAAACCUCAAUAGUCAUUGGCGGACACACUCAGGGGAGAAGCCUUUUGUGUGCAAUGAGUGUGGCAAAUGCUUUUCCCAUAAAAAACAGCUGACCUGCCACCAGUAUAAACACUCAGGAGAGAAGCCUUUUGUGUGCAAGGAGUGUGGGAAAGGCUUUACCCAAAAAGCAAACCUAGUCGCCCACCAGUGGUCACACACAGAGGAGAAGCCUUUUGUGUGCAAGGAGUGCGGGCAAGGAUUUUCAAGAAAAUCAAACCUCAAUAGUCAUUGGCUGACACACUCAGGGGAGAAGCCUUUUGUGUGCAAUGAGUGUGGCAAAUGCUUUUCCCAUAAAAAGCACCUGACCCGCCACCAGUAUAAACACUCAGAAGAGAAGCCUUUUGUGUGCAAGGAGUGUGGGAAAGGCUUUACCCAAAAAUCAAGCCUAGUCGCCCACCAGUGGUCACACUCAGGGGAGAAGCCUUUUGUGUGCAAGGAGUGCGGGCAAGGAUUUUCACAAAAAUCAAACCUCAAUAGUCAUUGGCGGACACACUCUGGGGAGAAGCCUUUUGUGUGCAAUGAGUGUGGCAAACGCUUUUCCCAUAAAAAACAGCUGACCUGCCACCAGUAUAAACACUCAGGAGAGAAGCCUUUUGUGUGCAAGGAGUGUGGGAAAGGCUUUACCCAAAAAUCAAGCCUAGUCGCCCACCAGUGGUCACACUCAGGGGAGAAGCCUUUUGUGUGUAAGGAGUGCGGCCAAGGAUUUUCACAUAAAUCAAACCUCAAUAGUCAUUGGCGGACACACUCAGGGGAGAAGCCUUUUGUGUGCAAUGAGUGUGGCAAACGCUUUUCCCAUAAAAAACAGCUGACCUGCCACCAGUAUAAACACUCAGGAGAGAAGCCUUUUGUGUGCAAGGAGUGUGGGAAAGGCUUUACCCAAAAAUCAAGCCUAGUUGCCCACCAGUGGUCACACUCAGGGGAGAAGCCUUUUGUGUGCAAGGAGUGUGGAAAAGGCUUUACCCAUAAAUCACACCUGAUGCACCACCAGAGGACUCACUCAGGGGAGAAGCCUUUUGUGUGCCAGGAGUGUGGGAAAGGCUUUACCCGUAAAUCACACCUGAUGCGCCACCAGAGGACUCACUCAGGGGAGAAGCUUUUUGUGUGCCAGGAGUGUGGGAAAGGCUUUACCCAUAAAUCAUACCUGAUGCGCCACAAGAGGACUCACUCAGGGGAGAAGCCUUUUGUGUGCCAGGAGUGUGGGAAAGGCUUUACCCAUAAAUCACACCUGAUGCACCACAAGAGGACUCACUCAGGGGAGAAGCCUUUUGUGUGCAAGGAGUGUGAGAAAGGCUUUACCCGUAAAUCAGCCCUGAUUUGCCACCAGUGGACUCACUCAGUGGAGAAGCCUUUUGUGUGCAAGGAGUGUGGGAAAGGCCUUAUCUGUAAAUCUUCCCUGAUGCGCCACCACAGGACUCACUCAGGGGAGAAGCCUUUUGUGUGUAAGGAGUGUGGGAAAGGCUUUAUCCGUAAAUCAACCAUGAUGUGCCAUCAGAGGACUCACUCCUGGGAGAAGCCUUUUGUGUGCAAGGAGUGUGGGCAAGGAUUUUCCCAAAAAUCAGCCCUCAUACGCCAUUGGAGUACACACUCAGGGGGAAGCCUUUUGUGUGCAAGGAGUGUGGGCAUGCCUGUAACCAAAAAUUAGGCCUGAUCUCCCAUGAAAGGACACACUCAGGAGAGAAACCUUUUGUGUGCAAGGAGUGUGGGUGAAGCUUUUCCCAUAAAUCAUCCCUGACCUCCCACCAGCGUACACAUUCAGGAGAGAAGCCCUUUGUGUGCAGAGAGACAUCGCAGAAGUGGUACCCAGAGCAGCCUGACAACAUGGGUGGUAAAUAGGGACUUGGGAUUUGGCUUCCUGCAUGGCUGGCAGAAGAGCAGGUUGGCAUGUGGGCACAG